AAGUAAGCUUUGAUCCAGAGAUUUCCGAAUGGGGAAACCCAGCAUGAGUUAUGUCAUGUUAUCGAUAUGUGAAUACAUAGCAUAUCAGAAGGCACGCCCGGAGAACUGAAACAUCUUAGUACCCGGAGGAAGAGAAAGAAAAUUCGAUUCCCUUAGUAGCGGCGAGCGAAACGGGAAGAGCCCAAACCAACAAGCUUGCUUGUUGGGGUUGUAGGACACUCUAUACGGAGUUACAAAGGACGACAUUAGACGAAUCAUCUGGAAAGAUGAAUCAAAGAAGGUAAUAAUCCUGUAGUCGAAAAUGUUGUCUCUCUUGAGUGGAUCCUGAGUACGACGGAGCACGUGAAAUUCCGUCGGAAUCUGGGAGGACCAUCUCCUAAGGCUAAAUACUCUCUAGUGACCGAUAGUGAACCAGUACCGUGAGGGAAAGGUGAAAAGCACCCCGGAAGGGGAGUGAAAUAGAACCUGAAACCGUGUGCUUACAAGUAGUCAGAGCCCGUUAAUGGGUGAUGGCGUGCCUUUUGUAGAAUGAACCGGCGAGUUACGAUUUGAUGCAAGGUUAAGCAGUAAAUGUGGAGCCGUAGCGAAAGCGAGUCUGAAUAGGGCGUUUAGUAUUUGGUCGUAGACCCGAAACCAGGUGAUCUACCCUUGGUCAGGUUGAAGUUCAGGUAACACUGAAUGGAGGACCGAACCGACUUACGUUGAAAAGUGAGCGGAUGAACUGAGGGUAGCGGAGAAAUUCCAAUCGAACCUGGAGAUAGCUGGUUCUCUCCGAAAUAGCUUUAGGGCUAGCCUCAAGUGAUGAUUAUUGGAGGUAGAGCACUGUUUGGACGAGGGGCCCCUCUCGGGUUACCGAAUUCAGACAAACUCCGAAUGCCAAUUAAUUUAACUUGGGAGUCAGAACAUGGGUGAUAAGGUCCGUGUUCGAAAGGGAAACAGCCCAGACCACCAGCUAAGGUCCCAAAAUAUAUGUUAAGUGGAAAAGGAUGUGGCGUUGCCCAGACAACUAGGAUGUUGGCUUAGAAGCAGCCAUCAUUUAAAGAGUGCGUAAUAGCUCACUAGUCGAGUGACACUGCGCCGAAAAUGUACCGGGGCUAAACAUAUUACCGAAGCUGUGGAUUGUCCUUUGGACAAUGGUAGGAGAGCGUUCUAAGGGCGUUGAAGCAUGAUCGUAAGGACAUGUGGAGCGCUUAGAAGUGAGAAUGCCGGUGUGAGUAGCGAAAGACGGGUGAGAAUCCCGUCCACCGAUUGACUAAGGUUUCCAGAGGAAGGCUCGUCCGCUCUGGGUUAGUCGGGUCCUAAGCUGAGGCCGACAGGCGUAGGCGAUGGAUAACAGGUUGAUAUUCCUGUACCACCUAUAAUCGUUUUAAUCGAUGGGGGGACGCAGUAGGAUAGGCGAAGCGUGCGAUUGGAUUGCACGUCUAAGCAAUAAGGCUGAGUAUUAGGCAAAUCCGGUACUCGUUAAGGCUGAGCUGUGAUGGGGAGAAGACAUUGUGUCUUCGAGUCGUUGAUUUCACACUGCCGAGAAAAGCCUCUAGAUAGAAAAUAGGUGCCCGUACCGCAAACCGACACAGGUAGUCAAGAUGAGAAUUCUAAGGUGAGCGAGCGAACUCUCGUUAAGGAACUCGGCAAAAUGACCCCGUAACUUCGGGAGAAGGGGUGCUCUUUAGGGUUAACGCCCAGAAGAGCCGCAGUGAAUAGGCCCAAGCGACUGUUUAUCAAAAACACAGGUCUCUGCUAAACCGUAAGGUGAUGUAUAGGGGCUGACGCCUGCCCGGUGCUGGAAGGUUAAGAGGAGUGGUUAGCUUCUGCGAAGCUACGAAUCGAAGCCCCAGUAAACGGCGGCCGUAACUAUAACGGUCCUAAGGUAGCGAAAUUCCUUGUCGGGUAAGUUCCGACCCGCACGAAAGGCGUAACGAUUUGGGCACUGUCUCAACGAGAGACUCGGUGAAAUCAUAGUACCUGUGAAGAUGCAGGUUACCCGCGACAGGACGGAAAGACCCCGUGGAGCUUUACUGUAGCCUGAUAUUGAAAUUCGGCACAGCUUGUACAGGAUAGGUAGGAGCCUUUGAAACGUGAGCGCUAGCUUACGUGGAGGCGCUGGUGGGAUACUACCCUAGCUGUGUUGGCUUUCUAACCCGCACCACUUAUCGUGGUGGGAGACAGUGUCAGGCGGGCAGUUUGACUGGGGCGGUCGCCUCCUAAAAGGUAACGGAGGCGCUCAAAGGUUCCCUCAGAAUGGUUGGAAAUCAUUCAUAGAGUGUAAAGGCAUAAGGGAGCUUGACUGCGAGACCUACAAGUCGAGCAGGGUCGAAAGACGGACUUAGUGAUCCGGUGGUUCCGCAUGGAAGGGCCAUCGCUCAACGGAUAAAAGCUACCCCGGGGAUAACAGGCUUAUCUCCCCCAAGAGUUCACAUCGACGGGGAGGUUUGGCACCUCGAUGUCGGCUCAUCGCAUCCUGGGGCUGUAGUCGGUCCCAAGGGUUGGGCUGUUCGCCCAUUAAAGCGGUACGCGAGCUGGGUUCAGAACGUCGUGAGACAGUUCGGUCCCUAUCCGUCGUGGGCGUAGGAAAUUUGAGAGGAGCUGUCCUUAGUACGAGAGGACCGGGAUGGACAUACCUCUGGUGUACCAGUUGUCGUGCCAACGGCAUAGCUGGGUAGCUAUGUGUGGACGGGAUAAGUGCUGAAAGCAUCUAAGCAUGAAGCCCCCCUCAAGAUGAGAUUUCCCAACUUCGGUUAUAAGAUCCCUCAAAGAUGAUGAGGUUAAUAGGUUCGAGGUGGAAGCAUGGUGACAUGUGGAGCUGACGAAUACUAAUCGAUCGAAGACUUAAUCAA
rnacentral:rRNA from 1 species